UAUAAGAGAAAGGCAGAGUCAGAGAGAAUGCGAAGACAGAAACAGUGAUGUGAGGCCGAAAUCCAAGGAAUGACACAGCCUCCAGAAGCCAGAAAAGGCAAGGACUGGAUUAUCCCCAAGAGCCUCAGAAGGGACACACUCAUUUCGAUCGCCACAGCUGUAAAAGGCAGAAGGAUGGGUAUAUAAAUUUGAAUGUAUGGAUGCUGAGAGAAAGACUUAGAGGAACACGUGUGAAAAUGUUUACAAAAAUUAUCUCCAAGUGAAAAAAGGUAUCUACUCAAUGGAAAUGAAAGACUUAUAUGUAAAUGUUUGCAAUAGCUUCCUCCUCAAUAGUCAGAACCUGGAAACCAUCAGAUGUCCAUCAGCACUACACUUGACACAUAAAUUGUGGCGUAUUCACAUAAUAGCAUACAAUACAGCAAUACACAAACUGCAAAAAUA